GAAAACCCCGACUUCGGAAGGGGUGUAUUUAUUAGAUAAAAAACCAAUGCCCUUCGGGGCUCCUUGGUGAUUCAUAAUAACUUAACGAAUCGCAUGGCCUUGCGCCGGCGAUGGUUCAUUCAAAUUUCUGCCCUAUCAACUUUCGAUGGUAGGAUAGUGGCCUACCAUGGUGGCAACGGGUAACGGGGAAUUAGGGUUCGAUUCCGGAGAGGGAGCCUGAGAAACGGCUACCACAUCCAAGGAAGGCAGCAGGCGCGCAAAUUACCCAAUCCCGACACGGGGAGGUAGUGACAAUAAAUACUGAUACAGGGCUCUUUUGGGUCUUGUAAUCGGAAUGAGUACAAUCUAAAUCCCUUAACGAGGAACAAUUGGAGGGCAAGUCUGGUGCCAGCAGCCGCGGUAAUUCCAGCUCCAAUAGCGUAUAUUAAAGUUGUUGCAGUUAAAAAGCUCGUAGUUGAACCUUGGGUCUGGCUGGCCGGUCCGCCUCACCGCGAGUACUGGUCCGGCUGGACCUUUCCUUCUGGGGAACCCCAUGGCCUUCACUGGCCGUGGCGGGGAACCAGGACUUUUACUGUGAAAAAAUUAGAGUGUUCAAAGCAGGCCUUUGCUCGAAUACAUUAGCAUGGAAUAAUAGAAUAGGACGUGUGGUUCUAUUUUGUUGGUUUCUAGGACCGCCGUAAUGAUUAAUAGGGAUAGUCGGGGGCGUCAGUAUUCAGCUGUCAGAGGUGAAAUUCUUGGAUUUGCUGAAGACUAACUACUGCGAAAGCAUUCGCCAAGGAUGUUUUCAUUAAUCAGGGAACGAAAGUUAGGGGAUCGAAGACGAUCAGAUACCGUCGUAGUCUUAACCAUAAACUAUGCCGGACUAGGGAUCCGGACGGGGUUUUUUAUUAUGACCCGUUCGGCACCUUUACGAAAAAAUCAAAGUUUUUUGGGUUUCUGGGGG
rnacentral:rRNA from 1 species